rnacentral:rRNA from 1 species
GACAGAGGGUGCGAACGUUGCUCGGAAUUACUGGGCGUAAAGCGCGUGUAGGCGGGUGAUCAAGUCAGGUGUGAAAUCCCCAGGCUCAACCUGGGAACUGCACUUGAAACUGGUCGCCUUGAGUGUUGGAGAGGCAAGUGGAAUUCCCGGUGUAGCGGUGAAAUGCGCAGAUAUCGGGAGGAACACCAAUGGCGAAGGCAGCUUGCUGGGACGGUCCUGACGCUGAGGCGCGAAAGCGUGGGGAGCAAACAGG